GUGCCCUUUUAAGGUUGAUGCAGUGCUUUAAGAAGCUAACACAGAAAGGUAGAGUAAAUCUCCAUAAAACCCAGAGAAGAGAUUUUUAAAACUCCUCUUUGGAUCCUGUUUGGAGUUACAUCU